rnacentral:siRNA from 1 species
UGAUAUAUAUCUACUUGAUGAUC